rnacentral:lncRNA from 1 species
GCAAAGCCCACGGUGCUGCUGCUCUUUGGGAGUGGGUGGUGCUGCUGAUGGAUUUGGAUUCAAAUUCCACAUCUGCAUCUUCUGCUCACACAGGUCAAUGCAUUUUGAAGCAGAUGGAGCAGUAAUUCAUGAAAAAUAGUGUUUAGGAAAGAAAAGGUAAGUCAAUUUUACAGACCCCAUAAUGUCUAUAAAUGUCUGACUGGCACUGGAUUGGGAAAGGGUCAGAGUUGCUCCACAGCUUCUCAUUUAUUUAUAGGGAAAAAGGGGGAACACCACAGCUGCCAGAUCCCAGACUUGACACCCCUCCUCUGUGCAUUUCCUGAUUCUUCCUCCAUCUAAUGGAUCAAAUAUUUGAAAUGAUUUGGAAUCUGAAGUGUGGACGUGCAGAACUUUUUGGGACAGAUGUGUUAGUGACAGGAUGAAGCUGUGAGGGACAAACGAUGGGUGCAGCACUCUCUGUCUUCGUGGGAAGGCUGGGUGGGACAGGCACCUCAAGGAGCAGUUUUAAGGAAGCUCUGCAGAACCAUGUCCUGAGAGUACAGAGCACCUGCAGACACCACCAGCUGUGCUUCUCCUGGCUUUGGCAGGGAACUGCUCCUGGCUACGUUUGGCCUCAACUGCACAAUGUAUUUACUGGGGUAAAAAGAAGAGGAUGACAAUUUUCACUGGAGUACACCUGCAAUAAUGGCUCACAGCAUUUAAUUCUUCCCUUGGUUUCCUGGUAGUCUUUGUUUUGACACCUGCAAACAACCUUUUCCAAAUCAAAGAGAGCUUUUUCUCUCCAUGUCAUGCUGCCACCCAAGUCGAGCUGACAAAGUCCAACUAGGAACAGAGCAAUUAUAAACACAGUUUCCUCUGGUGCUUGUGCUGUUUUUAGCUUUGUUGCUUUCCCAAAAAGAAACCUGUGCCUAAUGUCUCCAUCUUUGCAUGCAAAAUUAAUAAAAUCUGACAAUUACACUGAACA